rnacentral:rRNA from 1 species
GUGCCAGCAGCCGCGGUAAGAUAGAGGAUGCAAGCAUUAUCCGGAAUGAUUGGGCGUAAAGCGUCUGUAGGUGGCUUUUUAAGUUUGUCGUCAAAUCCCAGGGCUCAACCCUAGACAGGCGGUGGAAACUACCAAGCUGGAGUACGGUUGGGGCAGAGGGAAUUUCCGGUGGAGCGGUGAAAUAUGUAGAGAUCAGAAAGAACACCAACGGUGAAAGCACUCUACUAGGCCGACACUGACACUGAGAGACGGAAGCUAGGGGAGCGAAUGGGAUUAGAUACCCCAGUAGUCC